rnacentral:rRNA from 1 species
AACGAACGCUGGCGGCAGGCUUAACACAUGCAAGUCGAACGGGUGCAGCAAUGCAUCAGUGGCAGACGGGUGAGUAACACGUGGGAACCUUCCUAGGGGUACGGAACAACUCAGGGAAACCUGAGCUAAUACCGUAUACGUCCGUAAGGAGAAAGAUUCAUCGCCCCUAGACGGGCCCGCGUCGGAUUAGGUAGUUGGUGGGGUAACGGCCUACCAAGCCUGCGAUCCGUAGCUGAUCNGAGAGGAUGAUCAGCCACACUGGGACUGAGACACGGCCCAGACUCCUACGGGAGGCAGCAGUGGGGAAUCUUGGACAAUGGGCGCAAGCCUGAUCCAGCCAUGCCGCGUGAGUGAAGAAGG